rnacentral:rRNA from 1 species
CCCAUUGAUUGAUGGUGCUUGCACCUGAUUGAUUUUGGUCGCCAACGAGUGGCGGACGGGUGAGUAACACGUAGGUAACCUGCCCAGAAGCGGGGGACAACAUUUGGAAACAGAUGCUAAUACCGCAUAACAACGUUGUUCGCAUGAACAACGCUUAAAAGAUGGCUUCUCGCUAUCACUUCUGGAUGGACCUGCGGUGCAUUAGCUUGUUGGUGGGGUAAUGGCCUACCAAGGCGAUGAUGCAUAGCCGAGUUGAGAGACUGAUCGGCCACAAUGGGACUGAGACACGGCCCAUACUCCUACGGGAGGCAGCAGUAGGGAAUCUUCCACAAUGGGCGCAAGCCUGAUGGAGCAACACCGCGUGAGUGAAGAAGGGUUUCGGCUCGUAAAGCUCUGUUGUUAAAGAAGAACACGUAUGAGAGUAACUGUUCAUACGUUGACGGUAUUUAACCAGAAAGUCACGGCUAACUACGUGCCAGCAGCCGCGGUAAUACGUAGGUGGCAAGCGUUAUCCGGAUUUAUUGGGCGUAAAGAGAGUGCAGGCGGUUUUCUAAGUCUGAUGUGAAAGCCUUCGGCUUAACCGGAGAAGUGCAUCGGAAACUGGAUAACUUGAGUGCAGAAGAGGGUAGUGGAACUCCAUGUGUAGCGGUGGAAUGCGUAGAUAUAUGGAAGAACACCAGUGGCGAAGGCGGCUACCUGGUCUGCAACUGACGCUGAGACUCGAAAGCAUGGGUAGCGAACAGGAUUAGAUACCCUGGUAGUCCAUGCCGUAAACGAUGAGUGCUAGGUGUUGGAGGGUUUCCGCCCUUCAGUGCCGGAGCUAACGCAUUAAGCACUCCGCCUGGGGAGUACGACCGNCAGGUU